AGUGAACGCUGGCGGUAGGCCUAACACAUGCAAGUCGAACGGCAGCACAGUAAGAGCUUGCUCUUACGGGUGGCGAGUGGCGGACGGGUGAGGAAUACAUCGGAAUCUACUUUUUCGUGGGGGAUAACGUAGGGAAACUUACGCUAAUACCGCAUACGACCUACGGGUGAAAGCAGGGGAUCUUCGGACCUUGCGCGAUUGAAUGAGCCGAUGUCGGAUUAGCUAGUUGGGUGGGUAAAGGCCCACCAAGGCGCGGAUCCGUAGCUUGUCAGUGAGAAUGGUCAGCCACCCUGGAACUGGGACACGGUCCAGACUCCUACGGGAGGCAGCAGUGGGGAAUAUUGGACAGUGGGCGCAAGCCUGAUACAGCCAUACCGCGUCGGUGAAGAAGGCCUUCGGGUUGUAAAGCCGUUUUGUUGGGAAAGAAAAGCAGCAGGUUAAUACCCAGCUGUUCUGACGGUACCCAAAGAAUAAGCACCGGCUAACUUCGUG
rnacentral:rRNA from 1 species